UUGAUCUGAAAUCAGGCGGGAUUACCCGCUGAACUU
rnacentral:rRNA from 1 species